ACACUGCUAUUCCCCUUUCACCUAAAUCCCUCUGUGCACAGCAACUGAAAGCCUGAUAACCAUUAAAACAACCAACACCAAAGAGCCUUAAACCUCUGCUGAGUUCCCUUUCUUGAGUGUCCUUGAGUGUCCACACCUGGACACUGUAGUUGGUGUCUUUAAUCUGUAUCUGAGAUAAAACAGAAUGUUUCAGAGAGGUGGAGAAGAGGUUGGGUUCUCACUAGCUGAGAAAUCCCAGAAAAAUGGCCUGGCCUGAUUUCUGAAGAUAGAGAAGCCCUGAGCAUGCAAAAAAUGCUCAGCACCUGGAUUGGAAGUCCCCCCAAAGGCAGAAUUUGUCCUUGCUUGUCAUAUCAGGCUCAAAGCAGCAUGGAUUCCAGACACAAUGUCAGCUCUAGGUCUUUAUAACAGAAGUGCUAAGAACCAUGUAGAAACACUGCCCCCCGAGAAUCUGAGUUUGUCUUCUCUGGCUUGUUUGGAGGGUCAGCAUCCAUCCAAAAGUAUUGUUCCUUCCUCUGUCUCUGUCACCACAAAUUUUGUUUUUUCUAACAUUUUAUUAUAAAAUGUCUUAAAUACACAAGAACACAGGAGGAGUGAGGAGAUUUCACCCUGAACAUUAAUAUCUUACUUUCCUGGUUUCUAACAUAUCUAUCACCUAUCCAUCUUUCUAUGGAAUCUUGGGGUGGGGUGCAUGUCCCUGUGCAUGUUUCAAAGUAAAUUAUAAACCCAAUUCUAUCAUCCUCAUACCCUCACAUUUAACUCUUUUUCCUCUUGCCACAGUUUUCUUUAAACAAGGUCAUUCCUCUCCAGAAAUAAUUUUGAAAUGAAUUUACAUAAUCUUCCAGGAAGAAAGCCUACCCAAAACAAUAAAGUUUGUCAUCUCUCUA